rnacentral:lncRNA from 1 species
GCACGGCAUCCCUAAGUCUAAAUAUUUCUGUUACAUUGCCCAACCUUCAAUGUUAUGUAAUAAUUAUGUAAAAUUCUGGCAAAUUAAUUACGGUCUUUGUUAGGAAGAAAUGGUGUUCACACAGUUCUCAACGAGCCAGGCGGCCCAAACUGCUGCAUAUACCCUGACUCUGCUUACACUGAACGCAAGAGAAGUGACACAAUUUCAGGCACCGCAUUGAUUAUAUGCAACACAGGACAAGCUAGUUAAACUAGUAAUAUCAUCAACCAUGUGUAGUUAACUAGAGAUUGUUAAGAUUGAUCGUUUUUUUAGAAGAUAAGUUUAAUGCUAGCUAGCAACUUACCUUGGCUUCUUGCUGUCUGCACUCGCAUAACAGGUGGUCAGCCUGCCAUGCAGUCUCCUCGUGGAUGGCAAUGUAAUCAGCAUCCAAAAAUGCAGAUUAGCGAAUGGUAUGAAAACUUGAAAUCGGCCCUAAUUAAUCAGUCGACCUCUAGUAGAGAAUGCGAUUCCCAGGACCACCCAUAUCUAAAUGUAUGCAUGUACAACUGUAAGUCACUUUAGAUAAAAGCAUCCUCCACAUCAGGCCUCCUCCAUAUCAGGCCUCCUGCCCAUCAGGCCUCCUCCACAUCAGGCCUCCUGCCCAUCAGGCCUCCUCCAUAUCAGGCCUCCUGCCCAUCAGGCCUCCUCCACAUCAGGCCUCCUCCACAUGGUAUAUAUUAUUAUAUAGUUAUGAGCAGCUAGAUAGACUCACUAGCCUACACCCAAAAUAUUAUGAAAAAAGUUACUGUGUCCUUUUUAAUGAAUAACAGAUGACAUUGAAGACUGCAUUACAUUUCAUGUUGAACUAUCUUAACAAUGUGCUCCUUGUCACUCAUUUAUGCCAAACAUGAACAAUGAAGUGGACAAAGGCACAAACAGAUCUGAGACCAGGCUAUAGAAGGAGACAACAGAUCUAAGACCAGGCUAUAGAAGGAGACAACAGAUCUGAGACCAGGCUAUAGAAGGAGACAACAGAUCUGAGACCAGGCUAUAGAAGGAGACAACAG